GGAAGGGUGCCGGAGUGGACGAUCGGAGCGGUCUUGAAAACCGUCGAGGGGUCAACCCUCCGUGGGUUCGAAUCCCACCCCUUCCGCCA
rnacentral:tRNA from 1 species